AGACGAACCGUCCAAACGUUAUUCGGAAUUACUGGGCUUAAAGGGUGCGUAGGCGGCGCGGUAAGUUGGAUGUGAAAUCCCUCGGCUCAACCGAGGAACUGCGUUCAAUACUGCCGUGCUAGAGGGAGACAGAGGGAAGCGGAACUGAUGGUGGAGCGGUGAAAUGCGUUGAUAUCAUCAGGAACACCCGUGGCGAAAUCGGCUUCCUGGGUCUCUUCUGACGCUGAGGCACGAAAGCUAGGGUAGCGAACGGGAUUAGAAACCCCAGUAGUCC
rnacentral:rRNA from 1 species